AUCUCAUUAUAAAAGUUCCUCCUCGUUUAUGUCCAUUAUAUCACCGCUUGAACAUCAUUUUAACACGUAAGUGGCACCUAGCGAAUCCCCUAUCAACCUAAACGGUAUAGAGGUCGUUGCUUCCAUCUAACAGAGCUGCUAAACCAACAAAUAUCCAGAGUGACACGUCAGUCACGAUCCGAUCGUCAAUCGCUUAGUCUGGGGCGCGAAAAUUCGAUCUCAAGAUGUUUAAAUUAUUUCUAUCCAUUUUAUUCUUCUUAAUAUCUUUCCUGGCCGUCUGACUUUCUUCGAUGCUCGUCUUCUGUCGAUGUCGCCUAUCUGUCAAUCGGUGCAAGAGCAGAUGUGCAAACAAAUAGGAAAGUACAGAUAGGAAAGUGUGUGACAAAAUGAAAAACAUGGUGGAUGUCAUCGUACAGAAUCAAAGAUCCUCCACUUGAAUGUGUGGGCUAUCGGGGAAAACGGUUUCAAAAAUUUAACACCUGCGGGAUUGAACCUUCGUCAAGAACCGAAGCAAUUGAGUUUCCUGUAUCUGAUCUGCAAUAAGAUUAACGAGAUAUCCCAAGACCUCGAUCGCGGACGUGCCGCAUUUGUGGGGGCUGAAUUUCGGAUUGAACGACAUCGAACCGAUCGACAGGAGCUCGGUUACAGCGGUAUAUUCGCCUCUGGUUAAACGAUAAUAAGGUUAUUAGCGUAGAGCCUGAAGUUUGUAGAUAUAUUGUAGGAAUUAAUAACCUUCCGGAAUUGGGAAACGAUAAACUAACCAUCAUCCAGCCAGGAAUCCUACAAGGAUUGUCCGGAUUGGGCUAUCUCAUAUUGGAAGGAAAUCAGUUAAGCAGAGUGUCUUACAUCGAUUACAAACAACUAAUUGGUUUAUAUGAUUUGAACUUAGACUACAAUCAAAUAGCAAGUAUCGAGAUAGUAUCGUUCCUGGCCAUGAAUUACUUGAAGUUGCAUCCGAGCACGAAUCAACUAACUGUGAUUAUCUUUGCAAUGUUUCAUGGACUAACGGAUUUGAGCGUGCUGAUAAUAAGAUCGUUACAACAACCUGGUGUGUUUGGAGACCUUCCAGUCCUGGCAUUCGUAAACCUUACGAACAACGAAUUAACUGGCAUAAAUUUUGCAGAAUGUAGAAAUUGGUGGAAUAAAAAAAUGUGUAUAAACAUGUGCAUAAACAUGUAGAGCGCAAAAAUCAAUGAGUUGGGCCAGAGUAUGAUAAGUCUACAUCGAGUAGCUAAGAUAGCGGAGAUGGAGGUUCUUUUUACGCUUCUCACUAGUGAGCCAGAGCAGAGCUUUCAGGCUCGCAAGUCUUCGACUUGCGCAACAGCAUCGCAGAGGAUCUAACAAUCUCUCUUCAUACCUUCGUUUCAAUCUUCUUUGAUCAGGAAAAGUUACAAGUCGUAUUGGAAAAACAACAUCUCUGGAUAUCUCCUAACACCUUGUUCUCAUAUUUUUAAAUCGGAAAACGUUCGUCCGUGUCGUUGAAGACACUACAGUUUGUCUAACCCUCUUCAGCAGCGUGAUAAUAUUAGCAAAACAAUCAUAUUCUACUUCUUCCAAUGUGCAUUAUGCAGAAUUAUAACUGUCGAGGUAUUUCUUUUUAUGCAUGUAAAAUUGUCCCAACUAGAAGCAACGAGGAUAUCAUGUUGUUACAAAAUUCGAAUCAACAAAUUUGUGGAAUUGGAGAAGAUAAUGUAUUCAGUUACUUUAAUAGUCCUUGUUUCGAUUAAAAAUUUUCGUUUUUUAAUAUAUCGUCUAAUAUAAGCCGUUGAUGUCGCGUAAAAUGUAAUUUACAUUUUAUGAGAUAAAAAUGGCGAUAGAGUUGUUGUAUAUUUAAGGAUGCCACUUAAGAAACUGUCUUUUAUAUUAUUCCUCUGCUUGUCGAGAUGAAUGUUGGAUAAAAAGGGAGUUUCACACAGGAAAUAAAAAUCACCCUCUUUUCUUUUGUUCCAAGCUUCCUUCGUUCUUUAAUUUGCAUCUGUUCUAUUCUGCUUGCUCGAUGCGAGAAUAUUAUCGUGGAUAUGUAGCUCAUCUUGAACCAUUCGUCUUUUUCCUCUUUCAUUUUUUCCCUCGAGCUUAUCGUUUACGAGAAAAACGCUGGGAACUAAUAGCAUAAAUGGCUUAUACAUAGAAUUCGAAUGGCUUCUAACAAAAAUUGCCAAAAAACCAAAAUUUCCAUCGACGUCUCAAAAAUGUACACAAAUACGUAAUUUAAAAAAUUUUUACGUACUCCAUAAGCAUCCCAGAUGCUGUAAAAAAUUUGCAAUUAUCGAGCUCCAGUACUAUUUUCAGUUAAAUACGUACUUUCUCCAGCGUGAGAAAUUAGUGAGAAACUCGACGACCUUGUAACCGGUUCGUCUCGCUUGUCCUAACUCUGAUUUAAUCAAGCUUACACCGCCAUUACAAUAUUAAGUAGAUUGGAUCAGACGCAAUGAUAUCAUAAUGAUAACGCAUGGUCCUUCCACUUCGACACUCUCUCGUACGACAAUUGCUUCAUCCGCCUGUAUUGACUAGCCGAGUUAAACAGUUGUCUCGACCAGUCACAAUGGCGUUAUUUUAAUCUCUAUAACUUUUUAAAAAUCCUGUCCAUACCGUUUUUUCUUAUUUCCAUAAUUAGUUGCUGUCGUUGGUAGAACGUCGUAUGUAUCUUUUUUCUAUUUUUGUCAUAUUCUUUAAUUGAUACGUAUGAAUUUGUUGAUAUUAGAUCUUGGUCUUAAAUCAAAUGGCCGAUUUUGGCUAACGAAGGAAAUGAUUACAACUGAAUCUCAAGAAGCGGAUAAAAAUAAAGUAAAAAGAACUACAAUAUAUUCUACACCGAUAAUCUGAAACCUUGGCAUAUCUUAGGACACUAAUAAAAAUAACAAAAAAAUAACAAUAAGAAACUGAUAAAAAUAACUGGAAAGUAUACUAUGACACUAUGCACAUUCUCGUCGAUAUCGAUACUCGUAACUUUAAUUAAUAUAAUACACCAAAGUAAGAAUUUCUCUCAAGAAUCACAGCUACCAGUCCAAGUAACAUCUCGAAUAUUUUGCGCAUCCAGUUUCUCACAAAACGAUAAUAAAGCGUAGUAGUAAUUUCGCGGAGUUGGCGUCGCGAUGCUCGAGAGCGUCUUCAUUCGUCGUUUCAAAUAUAUAUGUCUCUUUCCCUUCGUAUCAUUUCCUGUGCCUGUCUCAUGCCACGAAUUGUGUUAUGAAACACGCGAAGACACACAACUCUGGACAGAAAUCCGAACAGUUUCCUUUCCUUCUUUGCGGUCGAUGGUACGGAGCGCUUUUGUGAUGGAGAACAUGCUGCGACACCGUUGCCACAUUUCGGCCGAAGAUGCCCGAAUAAUCUGCACAGAUUCAAUCUCCACGAUAAUACGUCCAAAACUUCGACUCGAAACGUAGCAGGGGCUACGAAGGAGGACGAAGGGUUGUGGCGCUGUUUACUAUUUCCAAUCCGACACAUCGGACCUAUGGCGUCAAUAUAUACAGCAAAUCGUGCAACUGAGAAAGACAAUGUGUCAUCCAAAUAAGUUGUAUUUUUAAUUUAGUUUAUUAAAGGCUACGUUUGCGUUAAUACGAUUAUUUAUCUGCAAUCUUUCUUUCAAUUAUUAUACAUGAUAUUGUGAAAUUCCGUUUUUAACGUUCCAUUAUAUUGUGAAGGAGAAUUGGCUAAGGAUUUACUUCUUAGUUCAUAGCACCUUGUUCUCCAUCAUUUUCUCUUACAUCUAAUCUUCUUUAGAGAUAACAGUGCUUUCUCAAGAGUCCCCGCGGUUAUAUUUAGACAGAAAUUAUUAUUAAUGUGACUGUGUUGCCAUACUAUAUACAAGUAGAUUAUUGUAUUCUGCUUACAAUUUUCUAUUAUAUGAAGAAAAAGAAAUAAUUGGGCAAGACUGAUAAACUAAAGCGAAGCAAAUUAAUUCUUAACUAAAUUACAAGACUUUCUCAAGCACGUUCGUCGAGUAUUCGUCAAACACCUCGCCGUGCCAAUCGAAACUCGACGUCUCGACGAACCAACAUUUCUCGGAAGAUUUGAAUACAAUUUCACGAGAAAAUGUUGCAAUAUUCUAGCGAAGAAUAUAUCUCAGCUUGACGCAUCGUUCCAUCUAAAGAGUUAAAGACGACGUUCCGUUUUGUCGAAUCCCUUCGGAGAAAUGUACGAACAGAAUCUUCCCACCCAACUUUUUCCUUUCAUCGUCUUUCAUACGUUCAAGCAUAUGUACGAAGAUAUUAAGAUGCCAGUUAUUAACGAAGCAUCGUGUAUUAUAUGUAUUUUAUGGUAGAUUCAAAUUCACCGAUAUUUGGUCGUUACAAUUUCUCCAAACAAAUGACUCUGUGCUCUGAUUUUAGCACUUGGAACAUAUUGGCGCGAUACACAUUCAUAUUUUACGCUAAUAUAUAUGUGUAUUUGUGUGCAUACACGUAGUUAAGCAUUUCUUACGUAACUAUGCGCGAUUGCGAAAUACAUCUCAUUUUUACUCAGUUUUAACGCUUGAAAUGUUGUUCCAUCGAGCAAAAUAUCAGGUUUCCUGUUUCUUUUCCCCUCUUCUCGUAAGAAUUUUCUAUGAAAGCACCGAUAUCACGGGCACUUGUCGUUAUCUCCUUUAUAAUUAAAGUUCUUCGGUAGUUCUCCUGAAAAAUUCACGACGCUGAAGAUAUUGAGGUGUGCAACCUCUGUGCCAAGCCGAAACUUUCGUUUGCUGUUUAAUCCCUUGAAACAUGUAAAAUUCAGGUUGAAACGACCUCGAGGAAAAAAAGCGCCAUGAUUUAGAGGGAAUCCCGCGAGAGUGGUAAUACGAUAUACGUUAAACGGAAGUAUUAUGUUCUAUAAGAUGGCAAUAUGUUGGUGAUAUAAACGUGACAGAUAAAAUAAGCUAUUGGAUAUGAGAAAUUUCUUUUUUGAAAUAUUAUUCGCUUACGAAAUAUUCUCCUAAUUUGUAAAUAUUUUCUGCCCGCCGGAGAAAGGCUUUCGAAAAUGUAUUCCUUAAUUGCAUUACAUUCAGGAUAAUAGUUAUGUAUUAUAUUUACGGAAGAAAAAUAAAAAUCCGUUGUGAAAGAUAUACUGCACGCGUAAAAUGUAAAGUAACAAUUCAAUUAUAUAUAUUCAAUAUAUAUUAUUUAAUAAUUAUAUAUAUAUUCAAGUAAUAAUUUCAAGCUGAUUCUUCUGGUAUUAUUAUGGUAUCUUCCUAUUUUUGCUUCGAUUCUUAAACGAAGAAAAAGAUUGAACUCGCAAGGAUACUAAAGUGUUCACUGAAUAUUCUUGCAACAUUCAUCAACAUUGUUAUACCUACAAUGCCCUAAUAUGUCACACUUGCAAAUCUGGAAAAUUUAGUUUAAUCAUCUAUAACCCAGAAUUUUGUAUAUUCAAAAGAAAGAAAAAUUGUAAUUGUUAUAAAUAAACCAUUUGACAUCGAUGUUAAACUGUAUCAAUGAAAUAAAAUAGUUUCGAGUAUAAAUAGUUGAAAUAAAAUAUGAACGGAUAUCGAAUCUUCAAGUUACAUUGUAUUCCAUAAUAUUAUAAAAUAUGAAUGCAUCCUAAGACUCAUAACUAACAAAAAAUUUGAAUCUAAUCUUUAACUACAUUUCAAAAGAUUACUUCAUUCUUAAUAUUAUAAACAGGAAAGUAACUCCCAUACAUCAUUGCCAAUAAAAAAUUGAAACAUCGAAGGAAUUACACGUGGUACGAGUAAUCGAUACGAGUAAGCCGGACAAGCCACGUUAACAGACAACUACACGGUCAUCUCUCUUCACCAUCCUCUGCAGCGAUCGCGUCCAAUUAAUCGUGGAACAAAACGCGGCCAAAUAGUCCAAUUAACGCGUUCAAUUAAUCGACCGACUAAACGCAAAACUAUUCAGCCUCCUGAUCGUUCGAACGAAUGGUUUCGGUAAACACGAUUGUACUCGCGAGACAGGACUGUCACAAGAAUUUGCCAGGCAAACAAACAAUUGAACAUAGAAGAGAUCGUUGGUUUUGGAUGCUAACGCACGAAAAGACAAGGUGGCGACGAAUUCGAGGGCGAGAAAAAUAAAAAACAUAGUCGAUUUGUUUCUCUUUUAUCGGCGAUCGAUCAUUGCUAUCGACAUCCUAAUGGACAUCGAGCAGCACCAUCGGAUGUUCCUUUUCGGCGCUGUAAUUUACGAAGCACCAGCAUAGGAAUAAUGUUGUCGUCGUCGAGACGAAGAAUUGUCUGUGAUCAACAGGCAGCAAGAAGCAUACGUUCCUGCUCGUAGUAGUCCUGUUGAUAUUACACAAAAUAUGAUAUUUGAAUAUACAACGAUGU